rnacentral:miRNA from 1 species
UGACCUGGGACUCGGACAGCUG